rnacentral:rRNA from 1 species
UACGGGGGGGGCAAGCGUUGUUCGGAAUUACUGGGCGUAAAGGGCUCGUAGGCGGCCAACUAAGUCGGACGUGAAAUCCCUCGGCUUAACCGGGGAACUGCGUCUGAUACUGGAUGGCUUGAAUCCGGGAGAGGGAUGCGGAAUUCCAGGUGUAGCGGUGAAAUGCGUAGAUAUCUGGAGGAACACCGGUGGCGAAGGCGGCAUCCUGGACCGGCAUUGACGCUGAGGAGCGAAAGCUAGGGGAGCAAACGGG